UUUAUAUUAAAAUAAAACUUAUAAAUAAAGCAAAAUAAAUUAUUAAAAUUAAAUUAUUCCACUCAUCAAAAGCAAAAUAAAAAUUAAAAAUUUAGAGAGAGAAUGAAAGGGAAAAAGAAGAAAAAAAAUGCAUGUUCUUAGUAUUGGAUUUAGUGAUUCAGAAGUUUAUUACCGUCUUUCAAAACCUUAAUGUAGGCUUCCCAAUU
rnacentral:lncRNA from 1 species